CACUCUCCUCAGGCUGUCUCCUCAGAUUGCCUCCUCAAAAUGAAGUUGCCUGUUAGGCUGUUGGUGCUGUUGUUCUUGAUUCCUGCUUCCAGCAGUGAUGUUGUGAUGACCCAAACUCCACUCUCCCUGCCUGUCAGUCUUGGAGAUCAAGCCUCCAUCUCUUGCAGAUCUAGUCAGAGCAUUGUACACAGUGAUGGAUACACCUAUUUAGAAUGGUACCUGCAGAAGCCGGGCCAGUCUCCAAAGCUCCUGAUCUAUUUGGUUUCCAACCGAUUUUCUGGGGUCCCAGACAGGUUCAGUGGCAGUGGAUCAGGGACAGAUUUUACACUCAAGAUCAGCAGAGUGGAGGCUGAGGAUNUGGGAGUUUAUUACUGCUUUCAAGGUACACAUGUUCCUCCCACAGUGAUACAGACCCUAACAAAAAUACUCUUACUUUGGGUAUCCCAGCUGCCACAUAUGUUAUUCAUUUGUAAGAGAGAGGUGCUGAGGAACUCCAGAUUAUUGGUCCCAGCUGAGGGCAAGUGCAGCCUGGCUACAGAUCACUGGUAA